rnacentral:misc_RNA from 1 species
AAAUUGUGUGGUUAGAAUACAGGUAUGCACUCUGCAAAUCUGUAUAUAUAGUUUCAAUUUUUGAUACCCAUUUUGAAUCAAUACCCGAGAAUUGUCUUAUUUCACGUAAUUUGCGUUUCUGGGUAAAUUUGGAGCUAUAUAAUCCAAAGUGGACGGCUUGAUCCUUAAUUGCUACUUCUUGUAAGUGUUUGUGAUUGUUUCCUUGCUGCGUAUUUAGUAAUUUUUCCGCCCUUGAGUUUCAAUGCAAUUUACUUUUCUCCAAUGAGUGCAAUGCAGAAAAGAGAUUUGCGGAAUUCUGGUUUAUUUCACAGAAUUGCACUCUGUUGUGAAUCCCUUUUGUUUUUGGGUGCUUUGAUAUUGAUCAAUUAUGCAUCUAUACAAGUUGUUUUGAUAUUUUAUUUUCAUUUUUUCCAUCAACUAAUUAAAGCUGCUAUAAAAUGAGCGUGUAUAAAAUCCUUCUAUUGUUACUAAUGGCAUGUGCAUCUGGGCCUUUAUUGAAAUUUUUUCUUACCUCUUAGGCUCAUCCAUUUUGCACCUUAAGGAACAUAAGAUGAUUCAUGAAAAGAAUUUCUAUUUUGCCCUUCGGUGACCAGUGUUUGUUGGAAUUUUGCUUGUAGCUCAGGCUCAUCCUUCCAUAGUUAUUGUAUAAUUUCCAACCUUCUUUUACCUGUGGAUAACUAGUUAUAUACUUGGGGUUGUGAAAGGAUAUCUUUGAGAAUGGUUAGAGGUCCAACUGUGUAUCUCAGCGACAGCUGUGGAAAUCUGCUUGGCGGGCAUUUCAUAUAACACUGUUGUUAGAGGAUUUUUUUUGGGUCCUCUAUUCAAGCAACAGCUGUGUAAAUAUGGUUGUGGAAUGUAUUGAGAAAUCAAGUUACCCACUUAAAUAUAAUUACAUAAAUUUAAGUUUAGUUUAAGUGGAUCAUCUAUAAAAUUCAAGAACAGAAAAACCAAUUCACAUGAAUUUGGUUCGUUUACCAUUUCCCGCAAGAAUGCAGUUUGUGAUUGAACUUUUUUCUUAGUUCUUACCUCCUUUUGUCUGGAGCCAGCUUUUAUUUUUUGUUUCUAUUUCUUUUUGGGGGGAUGGUGGGAGAAUGCCUAGAUAGCAGAAGGGAAUAGAUAGAAUUUGAGUAUUUGACACUUCAAUCUCAUUUAAAUGGGUUGUUCUUUUUUAGUAUGCUUCCAUAUAGCUGGAUAUCUGAUAUAAUUGGAUCUGCCAUUCUUGUCCUGUUGCAUAUUGUUUCUGUCUCAUUUAGUUCUUUUAAUACUCUUUUUAUUUAUUCAUCGGUUAGAGGAUAGCUUAUUCUUGCAAUUGUAUUUAAUUCUUUCUUUUGUAUAAAUAUUUUCUUUUAUUGGUGAAGAAAAUGGAGUCUUGUGGAUUAUUUCGAACAUUCCUUGAAUGACAUGAGAUGUUGUAUUUAUGUACCUUGUACAGAUUCUGGAUAAAUCAGAUUGUUAUCCAGGAUGUGGGACUGAUGAUGAUGAUGAUUAUGACCUUGCACUUCAAAAGGCUUGAUUGUG